rnacentral:lncRNA from 10 species
GUCCAGGAGCCAACAGCCUCUCUGUGCAAACCAGACAACCCUGCAGGAACUGUGCUUGAAGAAACCGUGGAAACUGCCCCCAACCCUCCCGUCUCUAUUUCUUUCUCUGUUUUAUUAUCUCAUUCUUGGCUGUGAGGUAAACAGGAGAAAAUGAGAAGGUGGUUCUGGAGGACCCGACCGAAUUUGCUUUCGUGACAGGGUCAAGCGCCCUUUCCUCGCCGGCCGCAGCCCUCACCAAAGGGGAUUUGGGGGCCUCCGGACAGGGGUCCUGAAGGUUUUGAAUUGUUCAAUCUCUGGGGGUACAGGAACCCCUGCAGGAGGUUUCAAAGGCAAGAGUUUCGCAGAGAGAAAAAAACCAUGAACUUUGCAGGUUGGUGGCGGAAUCUGGUGAUUUAAGAAAACGUGUUUAAGCCUCGGCCGGGCCGCGCCUGGGCUGUCUGCGGUGCUCUUCCGGAAUUCUCUACAAUAUCUGGAAGUGACCAAGAAAAUUCCAGAACCCGGAGGCUGCGCCGUGGAGAUAAACAUGGGCACCUGGGGCCUGUGUUCCCCCUGCACGUCCCCAGGAAGGAACUGCUGGACCAGCAGAAUGAGGGGCCAACGCCAGGGGCAGCACUGCCCGGCCACAGAGGACUGUGGCCCCACAGAUGACACCCUCAGCUACCAGCUCCUGCAUCUGGAAGAUGACCAGGAGGAGGAAGGACGGUCUGCAAGUGUUCAAAGUGAUGUUUCCAGGCCGGGCGCGCUUGUAAUACCAGCAUUUGGGAGGCUGAGGCAGGCGGAUCACCUGAGGUCGGGAGUUCGAGACCAGCCUGACCAACGUGGAGAAACC